UACGUAGGUCCCGAGCGUUGUCCGGAUUUAUUGGGCGUAAAGCGAGCGCAGGUGGUUUAUUAAGUCUGGUGUAAAAGGCAGUGGCUCAACCAUUGUAUGCAUUGGAAACUGGUAGACUUGAGUGCAGGAGAGGAGAGUGGAAUUCCAUGUGUAGCGGUGAAAUGCGUAGAUAUAUGGAGGAACACCGGUGGCGAAAGCGGCUCUCUGGCCUGUAACUGACACUGAGGCUCGAAAGCGUGGGGAGCAUACAGG
rnacentral:rRNA from 1 species